rnacentral:rRNA from 1 species
UAAUCCGGAACCGGCUAACCGGAUAACAUAACGCAUGGUUCGAAAUUGAAAGGCGGCUUCGGCUGUCAUUAUGGAGGCCGCGUGCAUUAGUAGUUGGUGAGGAACGGCUCCCAAGGCAACGAUGCGUAGCCGACCUGAGAGGGUGAUCGGCCACACUGGGACUGAGACACGGCCCAGACUCACGGGAGGCAGCAGUAGGGAAUCUUCCCAAUGGACGAAAUGACGGAGCAACGCCGCGUGAGUGAGAAGGCUUUCGGGUCGUAAAACUCUGUUGUUAGGGAAGAACAAGUGCUAGUUGAAUAAGUGGCACCUUGACGGUACCUAACCAGAAAGCCACGGCUAACUACGUGCCAGCAGCCGCGGUAAUACGUAGGUGGCAAGCGUUAUCCGGAAUUAUUGGGCGUAAAGCGCGCGCAGGUGGUUUCUUAAGUCUGAUGUGAAAGCCCACGGCACCGUGGAGGGUCUAAACUGGAGACUUGAGUGCAGAAGAGGAAAGUGGAAUUCCAUGUGAGCGGUAAAUGCGUAGAGAUAGGAGGAACACCAGUGCGACUUCUGAACACAA